rnacentral:rRNA from 1 species
UAGGGAAUCUUCCACAAUGGACGCAAGUCUGAUGGAGCAACGCCGCGUGAGUGAAGAAGGUUUUCGGACCGUAAAGCUCUGUUGUUGGUGAAGAAGGAUAGAGGUAGUAACUGGCCUUUAUUUGACGGUAAUCAACCAGAAAGUCACGGCUAACUACGUGCCAGCAGCCGCGGUAAUACGUAGGUGGCAAGCGUUGUCCGGAUUUAUUGGGCGUAAAGCGAGCGCAGGCGGAAGAAUAAGUCUGAUGUGAAAGCCCUCGGCUUAACCGAGGAAUUGCAUCGGAAACUGUUUUUCUUGAGUGCAGAAGAGGAGAGUAGAACUCCAUGUGUAGCGGUGGAAUGCGUAGAUAUAUGGAAGAAUACCAGUGGCGAAGGCGGCUCUCUGGUCUGCAACUGACGCUGAGGCUCGAAAGCAUGGGUAGCGAACAGGAUUAGAUACCCUGGUAGUCCAUGCCGUAAACGAUGAGUGCUAAGUGUUGGGAGGCUUCCGCCUCUCAGUGCUGCAGCUAACGCAUUAAGCACUCCGCCUGGGGGAGUACGACCGCAAGGUUGAAACUCAAAGUGAAUGAC